rnacentral:rRNA from 1 species
UACGUAGGGCGCAAGCGUUGUCCGGAAUUAUUGGGCGUAAAGAGCUCGUAGGCGGUUUGUCGCGUCUGCUGUGAAAGCGCCUGGCUUAACCGGGCGAGGUCGGCGGAAACUGUUCGACUCGAGGACGGUAGAGGGGGGUGGAAUUCCCGGUGUAGUGGUGAAAUGCGUAGAGAUCGGGAGGAACACCUGUGGCGAAGGCGGCCCCCUGGGCCGGCCCUGACACUGAGACGCGAAGGCGUGGGGAGCGAACGGG